rnacentral:rRNA from 1 species
CAGAGGGUGCAAGCGUUGUUCGGAAUUACUGGGCGUAAAGCGCGCGCAGGCGGAUCCUGUAAGUCGGAAGUGAAAUUUCGGGGCUCAACUCCGAAGCUGCUUCUGAUACUGCGGAUCUGGAGAUCGGUAGAGGUCGGUAGAAUUACAGGUGUAGCGGUGGAAUGCGUAGAUAUCUGUAAGAAUACCCGUGGCGAAGGCGGCCGACUGGGCCGGAUCUGACGCUGAGGCGCGAAAGCGUGGGGAGCAAACAGGAUUAGAUACCCUGGUAGUCCACGCCGUAAACGAUGGGCACUAGGUGCCGGGGGGAGCGACCCCUUCGGUGCCGCAGCUAACGCGAUAAGUGCCCCGCCUGGGGAGUACGGCCGCAAGGCUG